rnacentral:rRNA from 1 species
UACGAAGGGGGCUAGCGUUGUUCGGAAUCACUGGGCGUAAAGCGCUCGUAGGCGGAUCUUUAAGUCAGAGGUGAAAUCCCAAGGCUCAACCUUGGAACUGCCUUUGAUACUGGGGAUCUUGAGUCCGGGAGAGGUGAGUGGAACUGCGAGUGUAGAGGUGAAAUUCGUAGAUAUUCGCAAGAACACCAGUGGCGAGGCGGCUCACUGGCCCGUACUGACGCUGAGGAGCGAAAGCGUGGGGAGCGAACAGG